rnacentral:lncRNA from 1 species
GUUUGCUAAGUGGCUGUAUUGCCCAGGUGGUGCUUGAAUUUUCGGCCCCUUUGCCCAGAGUGAUAGGGUCACAGAGCCUCGUUCAUCUGCUUUGUUACUUCUGCUGUUACCAGAAGAGAGAGAGAGUCCAGGGGAGAAGAUUUAUAAGCAGUUAGGGGAUAAAAAACAAAAGAAGAGGAAGAGAUCAGAAGCAAGAGGACAAACAUUAGGAAACUGGUGAAGAAGACAGGUGAGAAAAAGGAAAAAAUAAAAACAAGAACAGAACAACAACAAAACACUAGAAACCAAAGAAAAGAUCUAGAAAGGAA